UACGUAGGUGACAAGCGUUGUCCGGAUUCACUGGGCGUACAGGGUGUGUAGGCGGUUUGGUAAGCCUUCUGUUAAAGCUUCGGGCCCAACCCGGAAAGCGCAGAGGGUACUGCCAGGCUAGAGGACGGGAGAGGAGCGCGGAAUUCCCGGUGUAGCGGUGAAAUGCUUAGAUAUGACAUAGAACACCAAUUGCGAAGGCAGCUGGCUACAGGGAUAUUGACACUGAGGCACGAAAGCGUGGGGAUCAAACAGG
rnacentral:rRNA from 1 species